GAGCGUAGCUUUCGAGUUACAAUGUGGAGGAGAGAGAAAUAGGCAGAGAGAGAGAAGGGCAUGGCGCUUCUUCGCCUUUUGCCAUCACUUCUCUCCACCUUAUCUCAUCAUCCUCCUCCUCCUCCCUUCUUCGUUUCUCCAUCUCCACCCACCUUUCGCCUCACUUCACUUUCUCUCUCUUCUGCUUCUUCAAUUCCUUCCCUUUCUCUCUCUUCUCCCUCUCUUCCAUGUCUCUCAUCCCAUGAACCCCA
rnacentral:lncRNA from 1 species